ensembl:lncRNA
GGGAUGCAGAGAGUCAGACACGACGUAGGAAGAGAACAACAGACUGAGGUUUGGAGAGGCAAGUGGCCUGCACAUGGGUCAACCUUCAGAAUGUGGAGCCAUGUCCACACACCCAGGCCCUCUGCACUCCACAGUCAGGCCGUUUUCAGGGAAUCGCCUGCCUCGGCCCCCUCGGCCCAUGUGUGGCUGACUCUCCAGGGACCUCAGGGCCGGGUCACCGCCAUGUUUUCCCUGAGAGCCCUGGCGGCCUCGCCCUGCUGAGUUCAUUUGCAGCUGGUCCUGCCCUGAGGCCUUAAACAGCUUGCUUUUUUUAGCUUUGGCAGGAGCUGUGGCUCCUCCCCUCCUCUCUCUUGCCCAGGGUCUUUAAUUGUGGCAUUCAAACUCUUAGUUGCAGCAUGUGGGAUCUAGUUCCCCAACAAGGGAUUGAUCCCAGGCCCCCUGCAUUGGGAGCGCGGGGUCUUAGCCACUGGACCACCGAGGAAGAAGCUGAUAAACACAUUCUUGGCAAGAGAUACCAGACAGAUACGGUUUAAUGGGUCAUUUAGCCCUGGGACACUCUAGUGGAAACAGAACUUCCGCCAAAGCUGAGUCUGCCGUUGUAAAUACAAAAGUAUUUGUCAGCCAGUUAAGGAAGGCAGUGC